GUGGUUUUCAGUCAAGAGUAGAUUUCAGAAUCUCUGGGAUGUGUUAAAAAAUGCACAUUAAAAAAAAAAAUCUGGGGUAAGUGAUAAAAUCUAGAAUUUAAACUAUUCUGCAUGUAAUUCUAAUAUGUAAAAGACACCCUAUGCCAACUUGUCUUAUCUCUCUUAUAUCCAUCCUCCAUAUAAUCCAGCAUAGGACUCUGACCACUCUGCUCUCCUACAGAAUCCCCACAGUGGUUCUCUGCUGCCCACAGAAUAAAAUCUAAGCUCUUUAGCACUGUUUGCAAGGCUCUCCAUCCCUGUCUUGUGCCUAUCCUCUGGUGACACUCAAAUUCGUGCAGUGCCUCUCAUGUGCCAUCUUGCUGUCCAUGUCUUGUUUUUGUGCAUUCUGUUCUCUGUGCCCUUUUACAAAUAUUCCUUUACUGACAUUUCUACUUGUCUUUCAGGGCCCAGCUCAACUCCAGGAAGCCUCCCCAUACUAGAAGGCUGAGUUUAGUGCUCCUUCUUCUUGCCCUUCUGCUUCAUCAGUUUUGUAACCAACGCUGUCACACUGAAAGUAUAAUCUUGCAUCUGAGUCUCCUCAAUGCCUGGCAAAGUGAAGCUGUAAGACUGCUAUGCAAAAGACUGAAAUCUGAUUGGAUGGCAGCCCAGACAGCCUGUGUCCAGCAACAUUCUCCUCUCCUUUCUGUGAGCUGGUGGGAUCCCUGGCCCGCUACUUGUGCUUCCACCCAAGAUGACCUGGAGAAGGGCUUGGCAACCCACCCCAGCAUUCUUGCCUGGAGAAUCCCCAUGGACAGAGGAGCCUUGGCGGGCUAGGCUGUAGAGUCGCACAAGGUGGGAUAGGACUGAAGUGACUUAGCAUGCAGGCACGCACCCAAGAUGAAUUAAAAUGAACAACGGGGGAGGGGAAAUAACAAAGUAAUUAGAACUGUCCAUUAAUUAAAAGAGCUUGAUGUGGCUCUCUGACAUGCAAUGGAUCAUGUCAUUGUCAACACAGGAAUUUAUUAUCAGGAGGCCAGCAUUUGGGGUAAAAACGAAACAAGCAAAGCGAAAAGAAAAAGAUAGAAUCACAGUACCACAGGAAUUCUCCAUCUUGGUCUGGGUACUGUGUAUAAUUUGGGCUGAAUAACUCUUGGUGGUGGGGGGUGUCCUGGGCAUUUUAGGGCGUUUAAUUACUGUCUCCACGGACUACAUGCAAGGAGUACUCCCUGCCCAAGCUGUGACAUCCCCAAAUGACUCCAGACAUAAUCAAACAUCCCCGAAGAGCAACUUGCCCCUGGUUAAGGACCACUAACAGUACAGUAACUAAAACAUAGCCAGUGCUCCUUUAUGUCCUGCAUCACCUUUUUCCCCGUGACUGCUUGACAGAAGCUUGUUGUCAAGCUACAAUGAGAGCAUGAUAUUUAGACAGGAAGCUGAAGGCAGUUGGUAGUUUAAGAAAGAGAAUAGUGUGACACCUUUUCAAAUCAUCAUGACUUAACCAUGUCCUUUGGAAUUCCGGGCUGUCUGCUCUGACUCUGAACAUUAAGAAGAGAACAUGACCUUGAUGAAAGCCUAGAAACUGCUUCCGAUGGAAGGGUUUUCAGCUGUUUCUAGAUAAAAACUGACCUUUAAGAUAAAUUUCUCUUCCAGAAUUUUUUUUUUCCUUCGUGAAUUAGUUCUCUUUGCCUUGCCUUUCACUGCAGCCAAAUGGUACUUAAUGGAUCUUUGAAAUUUAAUAUCAUAUCCUAUGUUGCUAGACUUUCUGAAGCUUAAUAAGAAUCCUUUGAAAUGAUUUUGAAAUAGAAUUUGAGAGGAGAAUAGGCUUUAUUUUUGUUUGUGUUGAGCGUUUUCUCUGCUAUUUUAGUGGAUGAGCAAUCUGAUAGGCUUUCCCCUCUCCCUUUCCUCCUCUUUUUCUUCAUGAAGGAUGAUGGAAUUAGUAAUGUUACAGAACUUUACAUGCACUUAGCAAUUUAUCAACCAUAACCAGCUAAUCCACAGGAACACGGCAGGAGGAAGGCUUGUUAUUGGAUACACAGGAAUGAUUCCCAGAUCUUUCAUUUUCACUUCUGUAAACAGACCCAUAGUUCCUGGUACUCCAAGGCUCUCAGUACACCUCUCUUGAAUAAAUGAUCUUUUUGAGUAUUAUGACAAAUGGUUUCUAUUUUUUUUAUUAGCUGACUCAGAAAACACCUCCAUGCUGACCUGCAAUAUUUACACUAGCCCUGUUUCCUCCUCUUAAGUUAGGGCUGGACAUGGAGUAGGGACCUCAAAACCAUUUCUUGAAGGGAGCAUAAUGUAAGCAGCUGCUCUGACCACUAGCCCCUUCAUUAGUACCAAGGAUUCUCACAUAUGUUUUCUUUACAAGAACCUUGCACUAUAGAGGGCUGAAAAGAUUAAAAAAACAAAACACAGUUGA
ensembl:lincRNA